UUAUAAUUCAAAAGUUGAUUGAACCGUUAGCACUUUACAUAUUUUGUCACAAAAAUAAGUCAAAACAAACAGUUCAACAAACAAAUAAACAGUUCAAAAUGACACCAAAUGUGUAUAAAACUGAUUUCCUAAUAUUUUUUAACUUUUUAGUGUAUAUUAUAGUUUAAACGAAUUUAUUUAUUUUAGAAAUUCCCUAAAGUAUAUAACAUUAGGGAAUUUCUUUAAAUUAUUUUAUACAAGAUUGAAAGUAUACAUAUUCCUCGAUACAAGCAAUAAUGUAAACGUCACCAUCAUGUACUAAGUAUAUAAUGAUAAAGCCUCUCAUUUGACAUGUGAGUUUCUAUAUUCCUAUAUCUAUAUAGCAAAAUGUCUCGACUUGUUUGACUUUAAAAAUAAGAUUAAAUUAAUGUUGAUACAGAAUGUUAACUAACGAAAGGUGUUUCCUCCCAAUAUACCAUAACACUAAAUAUAGUGUGAGCAAGGUUGUCAUCCUAAGAAAAUCAAUUGCCCAGUUUAUUUUAUGAUUUUUACGUUGUAUACAUAUACUGAAGCUGAUGAACUAAUUUAACAGUACAAAGGUCUGUUAAAUGGGCGGGGGUUAACAAUGGCCCAAAAUGUGCAAUAAGGGCAUGUCAAAUUCGCGUAAUAAAUUUAAAAAAAAGUUGUUGAUAUGAAGUAAUCAUUCGUUUCAAUUUGGACUACAUCAUUGCUAUUAUUUAUGAAUUUACAAUAUAUCGAUAAUAGCCAAUAAUAAUAUCGGUUAGUGUGAACAUAUUGCGUUAGUUAAUAUUAUAUUAUAUAAUCGUAGUUUAUUAUCAGUUAAAUAUAGUUACAAUAUUUUUUUGUGUGACGUCAUGUCUCAGGGGUAUUUAGUAUUAUAUAAAGUAAACUAUAUUAACACAUGAUCGUGCCUUGUGUAGAUUUAUACGACUAUUUAAAAGAUGGCUAACUUUUUUUAAAUCGUUAAGAAUAAGUCUGUAAUUGGAGUGUUUAAAAUUUUCGAACAUUAUCACGUAUCGAUUGAACUGAAUUUUUAGUAUAAGUUUUUAUGUAAAAUCCUUGUGAAAACUGUUUUUUCAUAACGUCUUUUAUAUAAUAAAAAUAUUUAAGUAA